UUGAACGCUGGCGGCAGGCCUAACACAUGCAAGUCGAGCGGUAACACAGAGAGCUUGCUCUCGGGUGACGAGCGGCGGACGGGUGAGUAAUGUCUGGGAAACUGCCUGAUGGAGGGGGAUAACUACUGGAAACGGUAGCUAAUACCGCAUAACGUCGCAAGACCAAAGUGGGGGACCUUCGGGCCUCAUGCCAUCAGAUGUGCCCAGAUGGGAUUAGCUAGUAGGUGGGGUAACGGCUCACCUAGGCGACGAUCCCUAGCUGGUCUGAGAGGAUGACCAGCCACACUGGAACUGAGACACGGUCCAGACUCCUACGGGAGGCAGCAGUGGGGAAUAUUGCACAAUGGGCGCAAGCCUGAUGCAGCCAUGCCGCGUGUGUGAAGAAGGCCUUCGGGUUGUAAAGCACUUUCAGCGGGGAGGAAGGCGGUGAGGUUAAUAACCUCAUCGAUUGACGUUACCCGCAGAAGAAGCACCGGCUAACUCCGUGCCAGCAGCCGCGGUAAUACGGAGGGUGCAAGCGUUAAUCGGAAUUACUGGGCGUAAAGCGCACGCAGGCGGUCUGUCAAGUCGGAUGUGAAAUCCCCGGGCUCAACCUGGGAACUGCAUUCGAAACUGGCAGGCUAGAGUCUUGUAGAGGGGGGUAGAAUUCCAGGUGUAGCGGUGAAAUGCGUAGAGAUCUGGAGGAAUACCGGUGGCGAAGGCGGCCCCCUGGACAAAGACUGACGCUCAGGUGCGAAAGCGUGGGGAGCAAACAGGAUUAGAUACCCUGGUAGUCCACGCCGUAAACGAUGUCGAUUUGGAGGUUGUGCCCUUGAGGCGUGGCUUCCGGAGCUAACGCGUUAAAUCGACCGCCUGGGGAGUACGGCCGCAAGGUUAAAACUCAAAUGAAUUGACGGGGGCCCGCACAAGCGGUGGAGCAUGUGGUUUAAUUCGAUGCAACGCGAAGAACCUUACCUGGUCUUGACAUCCACAGAACUUUCCAGAGAUGGAUUGGUGCCUUCGGGAACUGUGAGACAGGUGCUGCAUGGCUGUCGUCAGCUCGUGUUGUGAGAUGUUGGGUUAAGUCCCGCAACGAGCGCAACCCUUAUCCUUUGUUGCCAGCGGUUCGGCCGGGAACUCAAAGGAGACUGCCAGUGAUAAACUGGAGGAAGGUGGGGAUGACGUCAAGUCAUCAUGGCCCUUACGACCAGGGCUACACACGUGCUACAAUGGCAUAUACAAAGAGAAGCGACCUCGCGAGAGCAAGCGGACCUCAUAAAGUAUGUCGUAGUCCGGAUUGGAGUCUGCAACUCGACUCCAUGAAGUCGGAAUCGCUAGUAAUCGUAGAUCAGAAUGCUACGGUGAAUACGUUCCCGGGCCUUGUACACACCGCCCGUCACACCAUGGGAGUGGGUUGCAAAAGAAGUAGGUAGCUUAACCUUCGGGAGGGCGCUUACCACUUUGUGAUUCAUGACUGGGGUG
rnacentral:rRNA from 1 species